rnacentral:ncRNA from 2 species
AACUCAUCGAGAGUAGUGGAGGGAUAGGCCCUGUGAAGCUACAGCAACCUUUCAAUGUUGAAAACGGUGCUAAAUCCGACAGCGAGAUGCUGACAGAUGGGGA